rnacentral:tRNA from 1 species
GCCCUUGUAGUAUAAACAAAUACACCAGUCUUGUAAACUGAAAAUGGAUAUUCCUCCCAAGGACA